GCGGAGGCCACACGCAAGACUGCACGCGCUGCCGAAUCACCUGGCUGAGUACUAACGGCCCUGGAUGUUCAUCAUUUGAAUACAAUUCUAGCUAGGUUGACACACUGAAGCCACAUGAUGCGCCACUCAGCCUCCCUGAUUCUCGUGCUGUGGCUGGCAAUGGCUCAACUAAACCACGUGUCCAUGAUAGAUUUCAGUGGGGUGCUACAGAAUGCAAGGUCUGCGCUCAACUACAUAGCAUCAGUGAGCUCGCGGUUUCCGCUCAGUGACACUGAUGACGAGGAGACACCAGUGGACUCAGAAGCAGUUCAGGUGAUAUCGACAACUGAACUUCCAAAACCGGGUACAGAAGAGGCACUGGCAAUUCGUCUUCUGGGCAGUGACGCAACAACUGAGCAUUUAGGCCCAACUAUAGAGACACCAUGGAAUGGUGGUUGGACCACAUCAAACAGCAUCGGUAUGAUAAAACAGAUAUCGGCAACAAAACUACCUGUUCAUAAGCUGGAGAGGUCUCCUGACUACAGUUAUACAACACCAGUGGUUACAUUAAAAGAGAACAAAAAACUGACACCUCUGAAAUAUAUAACUGAUGAGGACUCAAAGCUGGCAGCUCCUGUUGCCAAGACUCCACAGAAGAUCGUCCUUGAAUCUACUAGUGACCAGAACUUCAAGGCGACCCUGACAUUUACAGAGAACGAAGGAUACUGGCCGACUGAAAGCUACCAGCACGAUGACGACUAUCCAGAUUUUGCUACGAAAGACAUGGACGAAGUCGAGGAUUUAUUACGAGAUCUUUCGGUCUAUAACGAUGAGGAUUUAGAAGAUGAUGACAAGAAGUAAUUCGACUUCACGCUGGUUGAAGAAGGUACUUCUCUGCAGUCAUGCUUGACAAUGAAACUCCACCGCCACAGUACCCUAGGCCGCCAUUAGAGGAACAAACCAAAACGGCGAAGAUCAUUAGUAAAGUAUCGGGCACCUUUCGAAGUCUGGUUAGCGGUGCUGCUAGGUUCGUCGGCUUUUAUCCGAAACCGACUGCUGCUGCCACCGCUGCUACAAACGCCACAGCUCGUCUGCCAGUCGGUGGGACGCAUCUGACUACCAACUCCUUACUGUAGACUGGAUACUGAACUAAAGUUGCCAUUUGUUUCUAAAGAGAAUGUGUCAGUGUGCGUGUCUUUGUGCACUUGUGCGUCCUCGCACUGUAGACUUUAGUCAAUCAUAAUAUUUUACUGCCACGUUCUCACCUCCAACU